rnacentral:rRNA from 1 species
UACGUAGGGGGGCAAGCGUUGUCCGGAUUUAUUGGGCGUAAAGAGCUCGUAGGCGGCUCAGUAAGUCGGGUGUGAAAGCCCCGAGCUCAACUCGGGGAGGCCACCCGAUACUGCUGUGGCUAGAGUCCGGUAGGGGAGCGUGGAAUUCCCGGUGUAGCGGUGAAAUGCGCAGAUAUCGGGAGGAACACCAAUGGCGAAGGCAGCUCGCUGGGACGGUACUGACGCUGAGACGCGAAAGCGUGGGGAGCAAACAGG